rnacentral:rRNA from 1 species
GACGUAGGGCGCGAGCGUUGUCCGGAUUUACUGGGCGUAAAGAGCGCGCAGGCGGUCGAUCAAGUCGAGUGUGAAAGCCCCCGGCUCAACUGGGGAGGGUCAUUCGAAACUGGGCGACUCGAAGGCAGGAGAGGGUAGUGGAAUUCCUGGUGUAGCGGUGGAAUGCGCAGAUAUCAGGAGGAACACCGGUGGCGAAGGCGGGGCUCUGGGCAGUAACUGACGCUGAGGAGCGAAAGCGUGGGGAGCGAACAGG